rnacentral:rRNA from 1 species
GUGUCAGCAGCCGCGGUAAUACGGAGGGUGCAAGCGUUGUUCGGAAUCACUGGGCGUAAAGCGCGUGUAGGUGGUCUUUUAAGUCUGGUGUGAAAGCCCGGGGCUUACCCCCGGAAGGGCACUGGAGACUGGGAGACUAGAGUACCGGAGAGGAAGGUGGAAUUCCUGGUGUAGCGGUGAAAUGCGUAGAUAUCAGGAGGAACACCGGUGGCGAAGGCGGCCUUCUGGACGGCUACUGACACUGAGACGCGAAAGCGUGGGGAGCAAACAGGAUUAGAUACCCCGGUAGUCC